GACGAACGCUGGCGGCGUGCCUAAUACAUGCAAGUCAAACGGUCUUUUCUAUGGAAGCUUGCUUCCGCUGAGAAGAUAGUGGCGAACGGGUGAGUAACACGUGGGUAACCUGCCCAUAAGAGGGGGAUAACAUCCGGAAACGGGUGCUAAUACCGCAUAGUUUUCUUGAUCGCAUGAUUGAGAAAGGAAAGACGGCCUUUGUGCUGUCGCUUAUGGAUGGACCCGCGGCGUAUUAGUUAGUUGGUGAGGUAACGGCUCACCAAGACGAUGAUACGUAGCCGACCUGAGAGGGUGAUCGGCCACAUUGGGACUGAGACACGGCCCAAACUCCUACGGGAGGCAGCAGUAGGGAAUCUUCCGCAAUGGACGAAAGUCUGACGGAGCAACGCCGCGUGAGUGAAGAAGGUUUUCGGAUCGUAAAACUCUGUUGUCAGAGAAGAACAAGUCGGAGAGUAACUGCUCCGGCCUUGACGGUAUCUGACCAGAAAGCCACGGCUAACUACGUGCCAGCCGCCGCAGUAAGAC
rnacentral:rRNA from 1 species